rnacentral:lncRNA from 1 species
GAAGAGUUGUGUUGAUGUGGUAUUUGCAUUCAAUGAAAUUCAAUAUUACUGUUAAUAAAUAUAAAUAUAAUUGUAAUAUUUUACAAUUUAGGUGGUUUUCCUAGCAAGACAAAAUGGUGUUUGUCAUCAUAUCGGAGACUACUUUCAAGCAACAUAUAUUAUUCAGAGGGUGAGUACCCAUCAUCUACUUCCACAUUGUGGAGUGGCAAUAGCUUGAACAGAUGAAAUUCUAGUUUGGAUUCGUCCAAGAAAUUUCAAUAGAGCCCCAAAACAUCAAGAGGUGAGAAGUACUCAUAAUUUAUAUAUUUUAGGUCCUUAUUGCUUUAGUUUUCAUUGAUUCUCAAGUAAAAUAUCAUGUCUUAACUUAAUUUGCAUGUUUAGUGUCACAUUUUCAUACAUUAGUAUUUUAAGUUAUUUAUGCUUUAAUUUUAUAUGUAUUUAUUAAUUAAUUAAGUGUUUUGAGACUUUAAUUAGGUGCAUACAAUCUUGGGAAGUGAGUUCGAGAACCAUUAGAAGCAAAAUAUUGAGUCAAAUUCAAGCAAAACACAGAAUAGGAGAGGAAGGAUGUGUAAGCCGCGGCCUAGAAAUCUAACACUAUAGCAAACCCAAGCCUUGACUCGAAAAUUUUAAAGCAUUUGGUUCCACAAUGCGAGAGCUCAUGAGUCCCAACACCGACGCACGUUUGUGAAGGCAAAAUUGGCAUUCUAACUUCGAAAAGCAAAGGUGUUUUCAUCCAUUUUCAAGACUUUUAGCUCAAGCAAGCGUGUAAACCUAAUUAGGUCAAAUAAAAUUUUCAAAUAAGAUCAUUUAGAGGAUUUGAAACAACUUUUACUUUUUUUAAAUUUCCAGCUUAUUUCAAUUUUCAUUAUUUUUGCUUUCUUCCUGUUCAUGGAUUGCUAAAAUCUCUUUUCCAGUCAAAGGAACUUAGAAGUUUGAUUCAAAAAGUUUGUGAGAUCUAAUUGGUCUUCAUAUUUUCUUUAUUUUUUUUAAUUACAAAUAUUCAGGUUUAUUGAAUAUAAGGCCCAUAUUUGAUAACUUAUAAUAUUUGCCUUGUCAGUUAGAAUAGUUAAACUCAUAAUUGUUUAAUUGAUUCUAAUGCUUAGUUGUGUGGACAUGUGAUCUAAUCUAAAUACACCCCAUUUUUAUGUGUUUAUUGAUUAGAAUUAAGUCUCUCUCGUUCUUAAUGCUAUAAGGUUUUUAUCGACAAAGGGAAAUUUUUCAACAAGCUUCUUCUUGGUUAUGAACAAUAUAAAGAAAGAUUGGUUGCUAGGCACGAUGUCAACAAUUAUAAUUAAUUUAUUAAAUAACACCAAAAUAUCUUUCAUUGAUGAACAAUUUUGUAAACCAAACGAAGAUUUUACCUUUGGCUAAAUCUACUUCUUAUUGAUUUUCCCUCAAUUUUAAAUGGUUUAUUUACUUUUAGUAAUUUGAUGUAAUAACUUUGGUUUUAUUUUUUACCCAAAAAAAUUUGAUUUUUGUUUGGAUCCUAUAAAAUCCCCUCAUCAUGUUUGCGUAGCUUGUUUUUAUUUUAAAAAAUAAAGUUAUUACCGAUAUUUUUAGAUACAACCCUACUUAUUGCUAUCUAUUAAAUUUAUAUUUUUUAAGUAGGAUUUUAUUUUUGUAGUUCUCAACAACCAUACAAAAGGCUCCGUAUGAUAGAUCUAAGAAGGCAAAAAAUGCAUUGGACAACAGGGCAUGCACUGUGGGUUGAGCUUCAAGACCAACGAGCCAAGGAGAGCAUAUAUAGGGAAUUAUCCAUAACAAUAAUUUUCGAGCCAUUGAAGUAUAUGAGCAAUAGUUCAGCCAGAUGGCCCACCUAAAAAUAUUAUUGUACGUAAAAAUAUCCUAACUUAAUAAUUUCAGUUUUUUUAUAUGUAAUGAUAUUUUUUAAAUUGUAUUUACGUUUACG